CUGGCUCAGAGCGAACGUUAGCGGCGGGCCUAACACAUGCAAGUCGAGCGAGAAAGGGGCUUCGGCCCUGAGUAAAGCGGCGGACGGGUGAGUAACACGUAGGUAAUCUUCCCUUGAGCGGGGGACAACGGUCCGAAAGGACCGCUAAUACCGCAUACGUUUCCGAGGACCCCGGUUCUUGGAAGGAAAGCUAGGUCGCAAGAUCCGGCACUCGAGGAGGAGCCUGCGUCGCAUCAGCUAGUUGGUGGGUAACGGCCUACCAAGGCGAAGACGCGUAGCUGGUCUGAGAGGAUGAUCAGCCACACUGGGACUGAGACACGGCCCAGACUCCUACGGGAGGCAGCAGUGGGGAAUAUUGGACAAUGGGCGCAAGCCUGAUCCAGCCACGCCGCGUGAGUGAUGAAGGCCUUCGGGUCGUAAAGCUCUGUGGGGAGGGACGAACCGCUGCACGUUCAUAGCGUGCAGCAUGACGGUACCUCCUUAGCAAGCACCGGCUAACUUCGUGCCAGCA
rnacentral:rRNA from 1 species